rnacentral:snoRNA from 1 species
AUCCCAUGAUGAGGACAAUUACGAAGUAACUCCUUAAAUUGCUCCCAAGCCUCAUACAAAGACUCGUCAUCCAGUUAUUACUAGGCUAUUUUAUUAAAAUGUUU